GAUGAACGCUGGCGGCGUGCCUAAUACAUGCCAGUCGAGCGAACGGACGAGAAGCUUGCUUCUCUGAUGUUAGCGGCGGACGGGUGAGUAACACGUGGAUAACCUACCUAUAAGACUGGGAUAACUUCGAGAAACCGGAGCUAAUACCGGAUAAUAUUUUGAACCGCAUGGUUCAAAAGUGAAAGACGGUCUUGCUGUCACUUAUAGAUGGAUCCGCGCUGCAUUAGCUAGUUGGUAAGGUAACGGCUUACCAAGGCAACGAUGCAUAGCCGACCUGAGAGGGUGAUCGGCCACACUGGAACUGAGACACGGUCCAGACUCCUACGGGAGGCAGCAGUAGGGAAUCUUCCGCAAUGGGCGAAAGCCUGACGGAGCAACGCCGCGUGAGUGAUGAAGGUCUUCGGAUCGUAAAACUCUGUUAUUAGGGAAGAACAUAUGUGUAAGUAACUGUGCACAUCUUGACGGUACCUAAUCAGAAAGCCACGGCUAACUACGUG
rnacentral:rRNA from 1 species